rnacentral:rRNA from 1 species
UACGUAGGGGGGCAAGCGUUUGUCCGGAAUCAUUGGGCGUAAAGCGCGUGUAGGCGGCCUUGUAAGUCCGUUCUGAAAGCCCGGGGCUCAACCCCGGGAGGCGGAUGGAUACUGCAAGGCUCGAGUACGGAAGAGGCGAGUGGAAUUCCUGGUGUAGCGGUGAAAUGCGCAGAUAUCGGGAAGAACACCCGUGGCGAAGGCGGCUACUCUGGGACGGUACUGACGCGUGAGACGCGGAAAAGCGGUGGGGGAGCGAACGAGGA